AAAAACUACUUGAAUGUUUCUACUGAUCCCCCAGAGAUCUGCUUAUGAGUGCAUGGGGACUGCUGUAAACCUUCAUCUCCUGUUUAAAUAUACUUUGGAGGCUGGCGCAUGAAUCUUCAUUCACAAAAGGUAUCAACAGUAUGUCUGUGGAAGUUCCAUUAUUCUUGGGAGUUAUGCCCAGCAACACAAACCAAUCAUGUCCAGCAUGUACAUUGGAUCUGCUAACUUUACUUUAGGAUUCCUAGGAUUUCAAAAGUUCAUCAUGUUCAGGAAAGAAGACAUUUUAAUUGGUAAAUGAAGGAGAGAAAAAUUGGAAGGGAGAAGGUGUAUAGUUUACAUGGUGCAUUUAAAGUACUAUGACUAGGGU